rnacentral:rRNA from 1 species
ACUUAAAUUGAAGAGUUUGAUCAUGGCUCAGAUUGAACGCUGGCGGCAGGCCUAACACAUGCAAGUCGAGCGGUAGCACAGAGAGCUUGCUCUCGGGUGACGAGCGGCGGACGGGUGAGUAAUGUCUGGGAAACUGCCUGAUGGAGGGGGAUAACUACUGGAAACGGUAGCUAAUACCGCAUAACGUCGCAAGACCAAAGUGGGGGACCUUCGGGCCUCAUGCCAUCAGAUGUGCCCAGAUGGGAUUAGCUAGUAGGUGGGGUAACGGCUCACCUAGGCGACGAUCCCUAGCUGGUCUGAGAGGAUGACCAGCCACACUGGAACUGAGACACGGUCCAGACUCCUACGGGAGGCAGCAGUGGGGAAUAUUGCACAAUGGGCGCAAGCCUGAUGCAGCCAUGCCGCGUGUGUGAAGAAGGCCUUCGGGUUGUAAAGCACUUUCAGCGGGGAGGAAGGCGAUAAGGUUAAUAACCUUGU